rnacentral:rRNA from 1 species
UACGUAGGGGGCAAGCGUUGUUCGGAUUCACUGGGCGUAAAGGGUGCGUAGGUGGCCGGGCAAGUCCGAUGUGAAAUCUCCGAGCCCAACUCGGAAACGUCAUAGGAAACUGCCCGGCUCGAGGACUGGAGAGGGGACUGGAAUUCUCGGUGUAGCAGUGAAAUGCGUAGAUAUCGAGAGGAACACCAGUGGCGAAGGCGAGUCCCUGGACAGAUCCUGACACUGAGGCACGAAAGCCAGGGGAGCAAAC